CGCUGGCGAAUGUUCUCAGCCACCUGGAGGAGGAGGUUCAGCGCGGAAGAAAUGUUACCAGACAUCGCCGAUCUGGUGUCUGGACUUUUUUGAUAAUUUCAUAGAGAUUGGGUGUGCAGAUUGGCGGUUGGAGUUCUGGUAGGGAACGACUGGUAACUUUAAGGGUAUAUAUGAAGCCGAAAACACCCACAACAAUGAGGUAACUAACAUAAAGCUCGCCGGUGACAAAGUGAUAUUCGCACGGUUGAGUGGACGAAUCGAUUCUCUGAGACUGGAAACGUACACGCAAGGUUGUCAGAUCGAUUGGGGAUUUACGUCUGCAUAUGGGUGAACCCACGUACGCACCGGUUCGGCAGGAAGCAUUAGUUUAUUUCAACAAUCCGUCCACAACGUUGCCAGCUCAACAUAACGCAUCCGAGGAGGAGCUUCGAUGUAUUCUGGAGUUUCACCAGCAGGGUUACCGGUGACAUGUUUGGAUGUGGCGGGCGGUACAGUCAUGACUUGCAGCCAGGGCCACACUGUUAAAGUGUUCCGACUCGAUAGCCACCUAUUGCAGUUCACCCUAAAAGGCCAUUGCGGUCCUAUCACAUGUAUUUUCAUAGACCAGUGGCAGGCCGAGAUGGGCGCAUCUGGUCGCCAAGAUGGUGUGCUAUGUGUGUGGGGCUUGAACUAGAACAGCUCCUACAAGACAAUGGUUACGAGAGUGUUCAGCAGGCCGUUGGUAAGGGAGUGGAUAAUUUUUAUAGUGUCGAUUGUUGAUAACAGGGCCAUUUAAUGGCGCCGCAAUUAAAUAUAGAAAGUUACUAAAUACAUUUUGAUAAUAAACAAGACUUCUAUUUACAUUGCUUUCAAUCAGAUAAUUUAUGUUAGA